rnacentral:lncRNA from 13 species
AUUUGUGCAAAUCUUUCUAAAACUGAAAAUGGACAAUUUAAAGGAUAUCAAAUCAACAAAGAGGUUUACAGACGAGGAGGCAUACAAAGGUAUGUCAAUUGGUAUUGGUAUGUAAUGCAGAUCACAUUUACCAUCCUCCUCCCUUUCCUCUUCAAUGAAUAUCCCAUAGGCCUCUACAUUAUGGACAAGGAAACCUAUUCGAUCACCAUGUCCUGCAAAAUCAUUCUGGCUAUGGAUACGGAGAACAUCAACACAUUAACAUCAACACGCCAGAGGAUAUACCCAUUGGACUUGGGGCUCUGCUGGGAUUUUACCUCAUAUUUAGAUUUUUUAUUCUGCUAUGCCACUAAAAUCAUAAUAAACACUGAGAACUAAAAUAUUGUGUUAUUGUUGUUAUGCAUAUUAUUAUUAUUAUUAUUAUU